rnacentral:rRNA from 1 species
ACGGGAGGCAGCAGUGGGGAAUAUUGCACAAUGGGGGAAACCCUGAUGCAGCGAUGCCGCGUGAAGGAUGAAGGGUUUCGGCUCGUAAACUUUUAUCGAUAGUGAAGAAACAAAUGACGGUAACUAAGUAAGAAGCUCCGGCUAACUAUGUGCCAGCAGCCGCGGUAAUACAUAGGGAGCAAGCGUUAUCCGGAUUUACUGGGUGUAAAGGGCGUGUAGGCGGAGCUGCAAGUCAGAUGUGAAAUCCCGGGGCUCAACCCCGGAACUGCAUUUGAAACUGUAGCCCUUGAGUAUCGGAGAGGCAAGCGGAAUUCCUAGUGUAGCGGUGAAAUGCGUAGAUAUUAGGAGGAACACCAGUGGCGAAGGCGGCUUGCUGGACGACAACUGACGCUGAGGCGCGAAAGCGUGGGGAGCAAACAGGAUUAGAUACCCUGGUA